rnacentral:tRNA from 1 species
ACCUUUAAAGCUUUGAAGAAGCAUCGAAUUUUUAAUUCGAAGAGAAUAGGAAUAUUUAAAGGUA